UACGGAGGAUGCAAGCGUUAUCCGGAAUGAUUGGGCGUAAAGCGUCCGCAGGUGGCUGUGUAAGUCUGCUGUUAAAGAGUCUAGCUCAACUAGAUAAAAGCAGUGGAAACUACACGGCUAGAGUACGUUCGGGGCAGAAGGAAUUCCUGGUGUAGCGGUGAAAUGCGUAGAGAUCAGGAAGAACACCGGUGGCGAAGGCGCUCUGCUAGGCCGUAACUGACACUGAGGGACGAAAGCUAGGGGAGCGAAUGGG
rnacentral:rRNA from 1 species